UGGGGAAUCUUGGACAAUGGGGGAAACCCUGAUCCAGCGAUGCCGCGUGAGUGAAGAAGGCCUUAGGGUUGUAAAGCUCUUUCACCCGUGAAGAUAAUGACGGUAACGGGAGAAGAAGCCCCGGCUAACUCCGUGCCAGCAGCCGCGGUAAGACGGAGGGGGCUAGCGUUGUUCGGAAUGACUGGGCGUAAAGGGCGCGUAGGUGGUUUUUCAAGUGAGGCGUGAAAGCCCCGGGCUUAACCUGGGAACUGCGUUUCAUACUGAAUGACUAGAGGACGAGAGAGGAAAGUGGAAUUCCGAGUGUAGAGGUGAAAUUCGUAGAUAUUCGGAGGAACAUCAGAGGCGAAGGCGGCUUUCUGGCUCGUAUCUGACACUGAGGCGCGAAAGCGUGGGGAGCAAACA
rnacentral:rRNA from 1 species